rnacentral:rRNA from 1 species
GCCUACGGGGCGCAGCAGUCGGGAAUAUUGCGCAAUGGAGGAAACUCUGACGCAGUGACGCCGCGUAUAGGAAGAAGGUUUUCGGAUUGUAAACUAUUGUCGUUAGGGAAGAUAAAAGACAGUACCUAAGGAGGAAGCUCCGGCUAACUACGUGCCAGCAGCCGCGGUAAUACGUAGGGAGCAAGCGUUAUCCGGAUUUAUUGGGUGUAAAGGGUGCGUAGACGGGUAUACAAGUUAGUAGUGAAAUCCCUCGGCUUAACUGAGGAACUGCUACUAAAACUAUAUAUCUUGAGUACUGGAGGGGA